ACAUGCCUACAACAUAGAAUUAAUGCAUUAAAUCCCAUUAGAAAACUGUAGUUAAGCGAGCUUAAGCUAGAGUAGUAUUGGGAUGGGUGACUACUCAAGAAUUCCUAGUGUUUUACAUGCU
rfam:Picea glauca, whole genome shotgun sequence.